rnacentral:rRNA from 1 species
UACGGAGGGGGCUAGCGUUGUUCGGAAUUACUGGGCGUAAAGCGCACGUAGGUGGCUUUGUAAGUUAGAGGUGAAAGCCCGGGGCUCAACUCCGGAAUUGCCUUUAAGACUGCAUCGCUAGAACGUCCGAGAGGUAAGUGGAAUUCCGAGUGUAGAGGUGAAAUUCGUAGAUAUUCGGAAGAACACCAGUGGCGAAGGCGGCUCACUGGCCCGAUACUGACGCUGAGGCACGAAAGCGUGGGGAGCAAACAGG